rfam:Schistosoma mansoni, Puerto Rico, WGS project CABG01000000 data, contig: 0429
AUCCAGCUGAUGAGUCCCAGAUAGUACGAAACCCGCGUCAAGCUGGAU